UGCGCAGUAGCCUAUCUAUGCAGCUAUUUCAGCUACCACCACUUCUGACACCAUGUCGGGAUGGGGGACGUAACGAGGCGCGAGCCGGGAGCGAGACCAGAGACGACCAGCCAGCACGUGACCAGAACGAAGACUGAACUUUAUUAACAUAAAGGUGACGUAACCAAAGGGCAUAUGGCGUCACUAGCCAGUCACGCACUGGGGCGCACUAGUAGCGACCACGACAGUUUCUUUUAGUGCUUGCUAACAAUGCUCAAAACAAG
rnacentral:lncRNA from 1 species